GAGGUUCCUGUGUUUGGAAAUCCGAAGAUGCCUGAGCCUGCGAAGUCCGCUCCCGCCCCGAAGAAGGGCUCCAAGAAGGCCGUGACCAAGGCCCAGAAGAAGGACGGCAAGAAGCGCAAGCGCAGCCGCAAGGAGAGCUACUCGGUGUACGUGUACAAGGUGCUGAAGCAAGUGCACCCCGACACCGGCAUCUCCUCCAAGGCCAUGGGCAUCAUGAACUCGUUCGUGAACGACAUCUUCGAGCGCAUCGCGGGCGAGGCGUCCCGCCUGGCGCAUUACAACAAGCGCUCGACCAUCACGUCCCGGGAGAUCCAGACGGCCGUGCGCCUGCUGCUGCCCGGGGAGCUGGCCAAGCACGCGGUGUCGGAGGGCACCAAGGCCGUCACCAAGUACACCAGCUCCAAGUGAUCCUGCCAAGUAAGCCUCCGUAGCGAAUUCCAAAGGCUCUUUUCAGAGCCACCCACUUUCUCAAAGAGAGAGCUGUGGUAGAACAGUGCGUUCAGUUUUACCCAGAAGCAGAUGACAGGUGCUUAUAAAUCUUAAAGGCAGUGGGAUACUUUUAGCUUAAUUUCAGUCUUGGUUACAUUUAGCUACAACCAUUUUGUUGGGAGAAAAAAAAAAAGCCUUGCAAACGUCACUUCCGGUGAGGCGGACUUGAGUCCAUCAGAACAAAGUUGUAGGACAGGAGUGACAGACUUUGAAGAGGAUAAUUGUUGCCAUUAGGAAGUUUGUCUUUUAUAAGUUGUAGGUUUUACUUUGGAAAGAAGUGGCUCCAAGACUGAUGUUAAACAUGAGGGGUCUGUAACAAAGGACAGGCUUUUCAUUUGUAGAUUUAAUAUCAGAUUACCGAGCUAUCUAGCAUGAAAUCUUAGACCAGUAUCUUGGUAGAGUAUUCUAAAAUAUGACCUGGAAUUGUCAAACUUACGGCAUUGAAGUUCUGGUAAAAGACGGAACUGAAUUGUUCAAAUGCAAAUGCAAAUGUAUCACUUUACCGUACUUUGGCCAUACUAAAUUUUCAUAGUCCAAGUGACGUGAAAGUUUAGAGAAAUGAGAAGAUCCGAAGCAAGCAGUGGGGAGAGGCUGAACUGGAAGGACUUAAUGCAAGAAAUCCCAAAACGAACGCCGUUGCUGUGUCUGUUGACUUAACAAUUCAAAAUAUAAGGACUUCAGAGUCAUUAGCGGAGUUUAGUCCUCUGCUUGUCCAAAUGAAAGGCGAAUAUUUCCAUCACCCUAGUUGCCCCCUGAACAAACUUGGCCAUAAAUACUGGCUCGCUUCUUCCGGCCCCACUUAUCUAAGCCUUUGUCUUGCCUGUUCGAAGAAACAGUACACUUGCUCUCUUCCCCACAGAAGUUAACAGCAUGCUAUCAUCUACAUCAUUUAUUUCUAGAAGCUGUGCCUAGAUAUGGUUUAGGAUUACAUUAUGAGCUAGCAGUGUGGGGAACCUUUUCAGCCUUCUGCCGCCUUAUGUCUCCUUAGUGCUGCAGCUUUGUUCUUGCACAACUCUCCUUUUUCUGGUUCGCAUUUGGUUGAAUUGUUGCCAAAAUCCACAAAUCAGGCUCAGAAGUGUAUAAAAGGCUCCAGGGUUGAAGUAGAUUGAUACUUUUCAUUUGACCAGCAAAUCAUUGGUGAUUUUUUCACUUCUGCCUUUGGAGGAGCAGACCUGACAUCGUUUGUACCACUCAACAGUGCUGGAUGCUGUAACCUCAAGACAGUGCAAAUGGGUGAUACUAGCAGAUUAACCACCAUAGUUUCAGAACUCAAGGAACAACUGAGAAGCACCAUUUUAAAUUCUAUAAAAAUGUUCACUGUAGAAAUUUGUGAUAAGAAAGACACACAGACGUAGAAAAUGAGAAUACUUGCUGCAAAAUUAAGAUGCUCCUAGCAAAAGAAUGCUUUUAAGUGUUUGUCAUGUAUGGAUAUAUAUGAUGUAUAUAUAAUAAAUGUCAUGUAAAGCAAAAAAAAUGCGUCAUGUUAUAUCACGUCAUAAGAAUAAUUUUAAGUAACUAGGCUCAUGCUUAGAAAUCAUGAUUUAUGUAUUCAUACCUAUGUGAUUGUUUGUGUUUUUAGUUAUUUUGAGCCUCUAUUUUUUUGUGGAAUAUUAGAAAGUACAAAUCACAAAUCUUUAUAAAUUUUCACUUUUUUUUUUCUUUUUUUGACUUGAAGGGAAAACAUUAGAUGGAGCAAUUGAAGUGGAAUGUGCAGGAUGGAGCUACAGCACAUGUGUGUGUGUGUGUGGAAGGCCUAUUCUCAGUCCCUAGGACUGUUGUUCAAAGAGAAAAGGAGAGAGAGAGAGAGA